rnacentral:rRNA from 1 species
CCUACGGGAGGCAGCAGUGGGGAAUAUUGCACAAUGGGCGAAAGCCUGAUGCAGCAACGCCGCGUGAGCGAUGAAGGCCUUCGGGUCGUAAAGCUCUGUCCUCAGGGAAGAUAAUGACGGUACUUGAGGAGGAUUCCCCGGCUAACUACGUGCCAGCAACCGCGGUAAUAAGUGGGCGGCUAGCGUUAUCCGGAAUUACUGGGCGUAAGGGGUGCGUAGGUGGUUUCUUGGGUCAGGGGUGAAGGGUUAGGGACAAACAGUAGUAAGCCUUUGAAACUGGGAAACUUGAGUGCAGGAGAGGAGAGUGGAAUUCCUGGUGUAGCGGUGAAAUGCGUAGAUAUUAGGAGGAACACCAGUUGCGAAGGCGGCUCUCUGGACUGUAACUGACACUGAGGCACGAAAGCGUGGGGAGCAAACAGGAUUAGAUACCCCAGUAGUC